GUGCCAGCAGCCGCGGUAAUUCCAGCUCCAAUAGCGUAUAUUAAAGUUGUUGCGGUUAAAAAGCUCGUAGUCUGAGGUCUGUUCCGGACUGGCUGGGGAGGUCACCGCCCGGUGCUUCCCCGUCAGGUUCCGAACAGCUUCUGCCGCGAGCGGAAGCCAUGCCGGUUCUCUCGGGGUGCUCUUGACCGAGUGUCCCGUGUGGCCGGCAGGUUCACCUUGAACAAAUGAGAGUGCUCAAAGCAGGCUACUCUUAAAACUAAAGCCCGAAUGUUAACUGCAUGGAAUGAUGAAAGAUGAUCUCGGUUGUAUUUUACUGGCUUGUGAUAAAUCCGAGUUAAUGAUAAACAGGGACUGUCGGGGGCAUCCGUACUACGACGCGAGAGGUGAAAUUCAGUGACCGUCGUAGGACGAACAACAGCGAAAGCAUUUGCCAAGAAUGUCUUCGUUGAUCAAGAACGAAAGUUAGAGGAUCGAAGGCGAUCAGAUACCGCCCUAGUUCUAACCCUAAACGAUGCUAACUAGCUAUUCGCCGUCGUUAUUCCCAUGACGUGGCGAGACGCCCCCGGGAAACCUCAAGUCUUUGAGUUCCGGGGGUAGUAUGGUUGCAAAACUGAAACUUAAAGGAAUUGACGGAAGGGCACCACCAGGAGUGGAGCCUGCGGCUUAAUUUGACUCAACACGGGAAACCUCACCAGGCCCGGACACCAGAAGGAUUGACAGAUUAAGAGCUCUUUCUCGAUUUGGUGGGUGGUGGUGCAUGGCCGUUCUUAGUUGGUGGAGUGAUUUGUCUGGUUAAUUCCGGUAACGAACGAGACUCUGGCCUACUAACUAGUGGAUGGGUGUUCUGACAGUGGGGCCCCAUCCGAUAAUGUCUUCUUAGAGGGAUGAGCAGCGAGUAUAGCUGCAGGAGAUUGAGCAAUAACAGGUCU
rnacentral:rRNA from 1 species